rnacentral:rRNA from 1 species
UACGUAGGGUGCGAGCGUUGUCCGGAAUUAUUGGGCGUAAAGGGCUCGUAGGCGGUUUGUCGCGUCGUCUGUGAAAACUCGAGGCUCAACCUCGAGCUUGCAGGCGAUACGGGCAGACUUGAGUACUGCAGGGGAGACUGGAAUUCCUGGUGUAGCGGUGAAAUGCGCAGAUAUCAGGAGGAACACCGGUGGCGAAGGCGAGUCCCUGGACGAUACCUGACACUGAGGCACGAAAGCCAAGGGAGCAAACAGG